UGGCUUAGAGGUUAAGAGCACUGGCUGUUCUUCCAGAGGACCUGGGUUCAAUUCCCAG
rnacentral:tRNA from 1 species